CGCAAAACCAGUGGGUACCUUGUAGAAGGGACUGGUGGAGAGUGGACAAGUACCCGCUGGUUUGCUUG
rnacentral:pre_miRNA from 1 species